ACGCUGGCGGCGUGCCUAACACAUGCAAGUCGAACGGAACUUCUUUAAAGGAUUUCUUCGGAAUGAAUUUGAUUAAGUUUAGUGGCGGACGGGUGAGUAACGCGUGAGUAACCUGCCUCUGAGAGGGGAAUAACAUUCUGAAAAGAAUGCUAAUACCGCAUAACAUAUAUUUAUCGCAUGGUAGAUAUAUCAAAGAUUUAUCGCUUAGAGAUGGACUCGCGUCCGAUUAGUUAGUUGGUGAGGUAACGGCUCACCAAGACUGCGAUCGGUAGCCGGACUGAGAGGUUGAACGGCCACAUUGGGACUGAGACACGGCCCAGACUCCUACGGGAGGCAGCAGUGGGGGAUAUUGGGCAAUGGGCGCAAGCCUGACCCAGCAACGCCGCGUGAAGGAAGAAGGCUUUCGGGUUGUAAACUUCUUUUAAGAGGGAAGAGCAGAAGACGGUACCUCUAGAAUAAGCCACGGCUAACUACGUG
rnacentral:rRNA from 1 species